rnacentral:rRNA from 1 species
UAGAGUUUGAUCAUGGCUCAGGAUGAACGCUAGCGGCAGGCUUAACACAUGCAAGUCGAGGGGCAUCGGGAGGGAAGCUUGCUUUCCUUGCCGGCGACCGGCGCACGGGUGAGUAACACGUAUGCAACCUGCCCUCUUCAGGGGGACAACCUUCCGAAAGGGAGGCUAAUCCCGCGUAUAUCGGUUUCGGGCAUCCGAGAUCGAGGAAAGAUUCAUCGGAAGAGGAUGGGCAUGCGGCGCAUUAGCUUGACGGCGGGGUAACGGCCCACCGUGGCGACGAUGCGUAGGGGUUCUGAGAGGAAGGUCCCCCACACUGGUACUGAGACACGGACCAGACUCCUACGGGAGGCAGCAGUGAGGAAUAUUGGUCAAUGGGAGAGAUCCUGAACCAGCCAAGCCGCGUGAGGGAAGACGGCCCUAUGGGUUGUAAACCUCUUUUGUCGGAGAACAAAACCCGGGACGUGUCCCGGACUGCGUGUAUCCGAAGAAAAAGCAUCGGCUAACUCCGUGCCAGCAGCCGCGGUAAUACGGAGGAUGCGAGCGUUAUCCGGAUUUAUUGGGUUUAAAGGGUGCGUAGGCGGUCCGUUAAGUCAGCGGUAAAAUUGCGGGGCUCAACCCCGUCGAGCCGUUGAAACUGGCAGACUUGAGUUGGCGAGAAGUACGCGGAAUGCGCGGUGUAGCGGUGAAAUGCAUAGAUAUCGCGCAGAACUCCGAUUGCGAAGGCAGCGUACCGGCGCCACACUGACGCUGAGGCACGAAAGCGUGGGGAUCGAACAGGAUUAGAUACC